rnacentral:rRNA from 1 species
CUACGGGGGGCAGCAGUGGGGAAUAUUGCACAAUGGACGAAAGUCUGAUGCAGCAACGCCGCGUGGAGGAUGACACUUUUCGGAGCGUAAACUCCUUUUAUAUAGGAAGAUAAUGACGGUACUAUAUGAAUAAGCACCGGCUAACUCCGUGCCAGCAGCCGCGGUAAUACGGAGGGUGCAAGCGUUACUCGGAAUCACUGGGCGUAAAGAGCGUGUAGGCGGGUUAAUAAGUCAGAAGUGAAAUCCAAUGGCUCAACCAUUGAACUGCUUUUGAAACUGUUAACCUAGAAUAUGGGAGAGGUAGAUGGAAUUUCUGGUGUAGGGGUAAAAUCCGUAGAGAUCAGAAGGAAUACCGAUUGCGAAGGCGAUCUACUGGAACAUUAUUGACGCUGAGACGCGAAAGCGUGGGGAGCAAACAGGAUUAGAUACCCCCGUAGUC